rnacentral:rRNA from 1 species
GUAGGUGGCGAGCGUUGUCCGGAAUUAUUGGGCGUAAAGCGCGCGCAGGCGGUCCUUUAAGUCUGAUGUGAAAGCCCACGGCUCAACCGUGGAGGGUCAUUGGAAACUGGGGGACUUGAGUACAGAAGAGGAAAGCGGAAUUCCACGUGUAGCGGUGAAAUGCGUAGAGAUGUGGAGGAACACCAGUGGCGAAGGCGGCUUUCUGGUCUGUAACUGACGCUGAGGCGCGAAAGCGUGGGGAGCAAACAGGGAUUAGAUACCCUGGUAGUCCACGCCGUAAACGAUGAGUGCUAAGUGUUAGGGGGUUUCCCGCCCCUUAGUGCUGCAGCUAACGCAUUAAGCACUCCGCCUGGGGAGUACGGCCGCAAGGCUG